GAGGGUAUAGCUCAGUGGUAGAGCACAUGCUUUGCAUGCAUGAGGUCCUGGGUUCAAUCCCCAGUACCUCCA
rnacentral:tRNA from 1 species